rnacentral:rRNA from 1 species
AUUGAACGCUGGCGGCAGGCCUAACACAUGCAAGUCGAGCGGAUGAAGGGAGCUUGCUCCUGGAUUCAGCGGCGGACGGGUGAGUAAUGCCUAGGAAUCUGCCUGGUAGUGGGGGAUAACGUCCGGAAACGGGCGCUAAUACCGCAUACGUCCUGAGGGAGAAAGUGGGGGAUCUUCGGACCUCACGCUAUCAGAUGAGCCUAGGUCGGAUUAGCUAGUUGGUGGGGUAAAGGCCUACCAAGGCGACGAUCCGUAACUGGUCUGAGAGGAUGAUCAGUCACACUGGAACUGAGACACGGUCCAGACUCCUACGGGAGGCAGCAGUGGGGAAUAUUGGACGAUGGGCGAAAGCCUGAUCCAGCCAUGCCGCGUGUGUGAAGAAGGUCUUCGGAUUGUAAAGCACUUUACGUUGGGAGGAAGGGCAGUAAGUUAAUACCUUGCUGUUUUGACGUUACCAACAGAAUAAGCACCGGCUAACUUCGUG